CAGAACCACUUGUCGGACACUCCGGAAUCACCUGACGGGCAUGCUGAAACCACCUCUCAGACGUGCCACAACCACGUGGCGGACAGUCCGGAAUCACCUGCUGGGCAUGCAGGAACCACCUCUCAGACGUACCACAACCAUGUGCGGCACACACCCGAACCCUCUACGGGACAGACCGGAACCACGUACCGGACACGCUGGAAACACCUGACGUGAAGGCCAGAACCACGUGAACGGCUCACCAGAAACACCUGCCGGACACGCCAAAAUAACCUGACGGCUGUGCCAGAACCACUUGCCGGACACUCCAGAAUCACCUGUCAGGGAUGCCGGAACUACCUCUCAGACGUGCCAGAACCAUGUGCCAGACACGCCGGAACCACCUGCCAAGUAUGCCGGAACCACCUGAUCCACUCCCCAGAACCACCUGCCGGACAUGCCAAAAUCACUUGCCAGCUGCGUCAGAACCACUUGGCAGACACUCCGGAAUCACAUGCUGGUCAUGCCGGAACCACCUCUCAAACAUGCAAGAACCACAUACCAGAGACGCCGGAAGCAUGUGUUGAGCAUGCCAGAACCACCUGUGCCACUCCACAGAACCACCUGCCAGACACGCCAAAAUUACCUGCCGGCUAUGCCAGAACCACUUGGCGGACACUCCAGAAUCACCUGCCAGGCAUGCCGGAACCACCUCUCAGAUGUGCCACAACCACGUGCCGGAGAGACCGGAAGCACCUGCCGAGCUCGUCGGAACCACCUGCCUGACACGCCAAACUCACAUGCCGGUUACGCCAAAACCACUUUGUGGACACUCCAGAAUCACCUUCCGGGCAUACUGGAACCACGUCAUGGACAGAUUGCAAACACCUGCAGGAACGGCCUGAACCCCCUGCCGAGAACGCCGGAACCACCUGCUCGACUCGCCAGAACCACCUGCCAGACCCGCCUGAACCACCUGCUGAGCACGCUGGAAGAACCUGCUCGAAGCGCUGGAGCCACCUGCUGGACAUGCCAAAAUCACCAGCCGGCUAUGCCAGAACCACUUGCCGGACACUCCGGAAUCACCUGCCGGACAUGCCGGAACCAGCUCUCAGACACACCAGAACCACGUGCCGGAGACGCCGGAAGCACCUGCCGAGCAUGCCUGAGCCACCUGCUCGACUCGCCAGAAACACCUGCCGGACAUGCCAAAAUCAGCUGCCGGGUACACCAGAACCACAUGGCGGACACACCAGAAUCCCCUGCCACGCAUGCCCGAACCACCUCUGAGACGAGCCGGAAGCACGUGUCGGACACGCCAGAAACAUCUACCUGACAGACCGGAACCACCUGCCAGACAUGCCGGAACCAACUGCCGAGCACGCCGGAGCCACCUGCUCGACUCACCGUUACCACCUGCCGCACAGGCCAAAAUUAACAGCUGGCUAUGCGGGAGCCACCUG
rnacentral:lncRNA from 1 species